AUGCCACAGAGCACCCACCGAGGAGCUAUGCAGCACCGAAAUCACGGCCACAUCGACGAGAUGAAGAACAGCGAAGUUCGGGCACAGCGAGCCUGGACGGAGACCGGUGAGCACGGCAUGGGGAGAAUCUUCCACCUACAAAGACUUCGACGACCGAGAAUAGAAUCACAGUUUGGUCGUUUGUACCUCAAUCAAGAUAGAACGGAGAGCCAUGAGAAGCUUAUGAAGGAUUACUUCAACCCCAAUGCAAUAUAUCUGAAGAAGUAUUUUCUCCAUCGAUUUCGGAUGCAUCGAAGUCAUUUCCUCGCCAUUGCAAAAGUUGCAGAAAAGAAUGAUCCGUGGUUUAAAUUGAGAAGAAGUGCACCGGGAGAGAUAAGUGCGAGCCCAUUAAUUAAGUGUGUCGCGUCUGUUCAAGUGCAUGCAUGUGGUUGCUCGGCCGAGGCCAUUGAUGAUUAUGUCUGCACUGGGGAAGAUUCAAUCCUAGAGGAAAUUGAGGCACACUUUGGGGAUGCCCUUAGGGGCACCCGGCAUCCGUUGAGGGGUAUAGCUUUGGAUGACAUGAUGCGGGCCGGGAGGCGGCCAUCCAAAGCUAUUCACAAAUUAAUCUGGUUGGGGGAGAGAGUAGAGGGGGAUCAUGCAUGUGGUGAAAUAUUAUGGUGUGGUAUCUGGUUGGAAGGGGAGAGAGGAGAAGCGGACCAUUAUCGCUCCCCCAAGUUUGUCUCGGAUUUGCUGGAAAACAGACGUCUGAACUAUUCGCGGACGGAUGAGGAUCUUCGUUGGAUGACAAAACCCCUUCCCCACCGGCGAGCCGCUCUCCACCUCCUGGAUGCGUCGCCGGCCACCUCACAUCCAGCGCGGGUCGCCGCUGCCUACCUCGAGCAGCAGGACCAACACGAGGCGACGCCCUCGCUGGCGAGGUCCACGACUUGCCCCGCCGCGAGCCCGCCCGUGCCCACGGUGCCCGCGAGCUCCGCCACGGCGCGGAGCGCGCGGUUGGCCGGCACGCCGCGCCCCGCGCAGUCCCGAGCGAGGUGCUCGAACGCGAGCGCUAGGAGCGCGUCCCGGGCGAGCAGCGCUGACACCGAAAGCGAUGUGGUUGGUGGGGCGGCCGCGCCGGAGGUCGUCGUCGUCCAUGCAGGCGACGGGCUCGGCGGCGGCCUCGUUGCCGCCCACCAGCUCGCACUCGGCUCUGUUGUUCUAGACGUGACCUGUUAUAAUCCAUCGUCCAUUGCUCAUCGCCAUUCCAAACACUCGCUGCUUUCGCCGAGCCCCUCUACACACUCGCGGAGCUACAGCAAGGCUAAAUGGGCCGUGGCCCGCCCAGCUCAUGUUGAUUUGUUUUCUUAUCGGGCCCGCUCAAUUUCCGGGGAGACCCGUUUGCGUUUUCUCUCGCUUCGGCCCCGCGUCGUGCCUCUGUCCCAUCCCCUCCCGUGUCGAGAGAGACAGAGAGAAAGAGAUCCAUGGCGACUGAGCUGCCCUGUCCGCUUGAUUCAGAAGGGUGGUUGUCAGGCGUCCGGCGCUCUUCCUCCGGCUGCCCCGCCACCUCCUUCUCCUUCGCCUUUUCCCCCGCUAGAGGUCUGCAACAUCUCUCGGUUCCGCCCCAUCGCCGGCCCCAUUUUUCUCCGCCCGGCGUUUCUGUGCGUCGUAUUCGGGAUUACCUUGUUGCAAAAGUCUCUUGCUCUUGAAUCUACGAAGAAAGCAUCAAAUGAUUCGUCAGUUAGUAAAUCUGCUGUUUAUAACGAGAGUGCUCUGUGGAUUGUGAUCUGCUCUUUUGCUUUGGUAGCAACCUGUUGCUGCUCAAAUUUCUAA
rnacentral:rRNA from 1 species